CCUGGCUCAGGACGAACGCUGGCGGCGUGCCUAAUACAUGCAAGUCGAGCGGACAGAWGGGAGCUUGCUCCCUGAUGUUAGCGGCGGACGGGUGAGUAACACGUGGGUAACCUGCCUGUAAGACUGGGAUAACUCCGGGAAACCGGGGCUAAUACCGGAUGCUUGAUUGAACCGCAUGGUUCAAUUAUAAAAGGUGGCUUUYAGCUACCACUUACAGAUGGACCCGCGGCGCAUUAGCUAGUUGGUGAGGUAACGGCUCACCAAGGCAACGAUGCGUAGCCGACCUGAGAGGGUGAUCGGCCACACUGGGACUGAGACACGGCCCAGACUCCUACGGGAGGCAGCAGUAGGGAAUCUUCCGCAAUGGACGAAAGUCUGACGGAGCAACGCCGCGUGAGUGAUGAAGGUUUUCGGAUCGUAAAACUCUGUUGUUAGGGAAGAACAAGUACCGUUCGAAUAGGGCGGUACCUKACGGUACCWACCAGA
rnacentral:rRNA from 1 species